rnacentral:rRNA from 1 species
UACGGAGGAUCCAAGCGUUAUCCGGAUUUAUUGGGUUUAAAGGGUGCGUAGGCGGCCCAUUAAGUCAGGGGUGAAAGACGGUAGCUCAACUAUCGCAGUGCCCUUGAUACUGAUGGGCUUGAAUGGACUAGAGGUAGGCGGAAUGUGACAAGUAGCGGUGAAAUGCAUAGAUAUGUCACAGAACACCGAUUGCGAAGGCAGCUUACUAUGGUCUUAUUGACGCUGAGGCACGAAAGCGUGGGGAUCAAACAGG